UUCUCAUAGCUGUGAGGAACUCUGCAGAGGCAAGCCACGUCUCCAUGUCUCUCACUCUUGUCUCCUGUCUUUCAGAAUGCAGGCUGUGCGGUUGAAAUACAGAGAUCAUCAGGAGUACAUCUGUUAUGAGGCACAACUGACCUUUAAAUCCUUUUUGGAUUGUGUUGCCAGGAAAUUUGACCUUCCAACCUUGGACUUAAAGGUUUAUGAUGAAUCAAACACUGAAGUUGACGAGGAGGUGUUUGAGUUUCUUUUAAAGAAACAAGACAUCGGUGUCCUGGAGUGGUGAGUCGCUUAUUACUGGCUAUCCCAACAUGUUCUGAAUAUG